UACAGAGGGGGCAAGCGUUGUUCGGAAUUACUGGGCGUAAAGGGCGCGUAGGCGGCCUGUUAAGUCGAACGUGAAAUCCCCGGGCUCAACCCGGGAACUGCGUCCGAUACUGGUAGGCUUGAGUCCGGAAGAGGCGAGUGGAAUUCCUGGUGUAGCGGUGAAAUGCGCAGAUAUCAGGAGGAACACCAAUGGCGAAGGCAGCUCGCUGGGACGGUACUGACACUGAGACGCGAAAGCGUGGGGAGCAAACAGG
rnacentral:rRNA from 1 species